rnacentral:rRNA from 1 species
CUAAGGCCGAUGGCGACCGGCGCACGGGUGAGUAACACGUAUCCAACCUGCCGUCUACUCUUGGACAGCCUUCUGAAAGGAAGAUUAAUACAAGAUGGCAUCAUGAGUCCGCAUGUUCACAUGAUUAAAGGUAUUCCGGUAGACGAUGGGGAUGCGUUCCAUUAGAUAGUAGGCGGGGUAACGGCCCACCUAGUCUUCGAUGGAUAGGGGUUCUGAGAGGAAGGUCCCCCACAUUGGAACUGAGACACGGUCCAAACUCCUACGGGAGGCAGCAGUGAGGAAUAUUGGUCAAUGGGCGCAGGCCUGAACCAGCCAAGUAGCGUGAAGGAUGAAGGCUCUAUGGGUCGUAAACUUCUUUUAUAUAAGAAUAAAGUGCAGUAUGUAUACUGUUUUGUAUGUAUUAUAUGAAUAAGGAUCGGCUAACUCCGUGCCAGCAGCCGCGGUAAUACGGAGGAUCCGAGCGUUAUCCGGAUUUAUUGGGUUUAAAGGGAGCGUAGGUGGACUGGUAAGUCAGUUGUGAAAGUUUGCGGCUCAACCGUAAAAUUGCAGUUGAUACUGUCAGUCUUGAGUACAGUAGAGGUGGGCGGAAUUCGUGGUGUAGCGGUGAAAUGCUUAGAUAUCACGAAG